UACGUAGGGGGCCAGCGUUGCUCGGAAUAACUGGGCGUAAAGGGUUCGUAGGCGGUGCGGCAAGUUGGGAGUGAAAUCUCUGGGCUUAACCCAGAGACUGCUUUCAAAACUGCCGUGCUAGAGUGCGGGAGAGGCCAGUGGAAUUGCAGGUGUAGCGGUGAAAUGCGUAGAUAUCUGCAGGAACACCCGUGGCGAAGGCGGCUGACUGGAUCGCAACUGACACUGAGGAACGAAAGCUAGGGGAGCAAACAGG
rnacentral:rRNA from 1 species